rnacentral:rRNA from 1 species
UCCAGACUCCUACGGGAGGCAGCAGUGAGGAAUAUUGGUCAAUGGGCGGGAGCCUGAACCAGCCAAGCCGCGUGAAGGAAGAAGGCGCCAGGCGUCGUAAACUUCUUUUGUCGGGGAACAAAGGGCGCCACGCGUGGCGUUGUGAGUGUACCCGAAGAAAAAGCAUCGGCUAACUCCGUGCCAGCAGCCGCGGUAAUACGGAGGAUCCGAGCGUUAUCCGGAUUUAUUGGGUUUAAAGGGAGCGUAGGUGGAUUGUUAAGUCAGUUGUGAAAGUUUGCGGCUCAACCGUAAAAUUGCAGUUGAAACUGGCAGUCUUGAGUACAGUAGAGGUGGGCGGAAUUCGUGGUGUAGCGGUGAAAUGCUUAGAUAUCACGAAGAACUCCGAUUGCGAAGGCAGCUCACUGGACUGCAACUGACACUGAGGCUCGAAAGUGUGGGUAUCAAACAGGAUUAGAUACCCUAGUA